CACGAUAAACGGCAAACCUGUCGAAAGAUGGGGACGCAAAGCUAAAGGGCCUACCCUCCAUCGGGAGCACGGCAGCCAGUUACCGAA
rnacentral:ncRNA from 3 species